CCACCAAAACAACACAUGUCAGCCGCGCAAGCAGCCAUUUUCUGAUUUUAUAAAGGGAGUCUUCCUUCCAAAGGGCGAGCAGACGAUUUUGAAAGUGUUUUCCUUCUGCGUUCCUGCCACCUGCGACUCCCCCCCGCCUAAAGAAACCGACUUUAACACACCGGCGGACAGGAAACGGUCUUUAAUAUUUAGUUGUCGGUGUUCCGGGGGAAGUCGGAUCUGAAUUUUCAAUUUAAACAACGAAGAGAAAAAACUACUUCCACAUCCGGUGGACAAUAAUAAUCGGAUUUGAAAAACUCCCAGGCGCACACAUACACACGCCACACAUCGCCGCCAAAAAGGAGACGGUUUUUUUACCCCGUAUGCGCUUUUAGACAUAUUCACUGCGGAGUUUCUGCCCUCCUCCCACUCCCCGAGUUGAGAACCCAAAACACGGCUCGGCUUUCGAAAGCGGCACAAAGAUGGCGGCCGAACGACACCGGAAGUGGAAACUGAGACUCGGAGACCUUCUUGGUCGGGCGGAUGGAUCCGUGGGGGUCGAACGAAGUAAAAGGGUUUCGUUUGUAAUCCAAUGCGCGACAGAAAUCAUCGGUUUUUAAUUUUUAAGUAAUUGAAGUUCGAAUUUAAACGCCUUGUGGUUUUAUUUAUCCACCUUUUUUUAGUUGAACGUGUCCGUUUUAACAUUUGCGGUGCCGUUUGGAGUAUAAGCAAAAUGUACUACCACUAUUUAACGCGGCGUAGCGAUAUGAUGGUGAGGGGGGUCGUAUUGUGGUCGUUAAAGUAGUCCCGGUAACGUCUUGGCGGCAAAGUCUGGGAGCUGAAAGAAAUCCUGAUGUAUUUUGAAUUCAGUGAACGAGUUAAAAAAAAGCUUUGCUUUGUAGUGUUAGGCUAAAUAUUAAAAGAGUGGGUUAGCAGAAGCCCAAGGCCUGACAAUGAGUUAUAGUGUACCUGUUUGUGGCCCGUUAAAUAAAGUGACAAUUCAAUAUAGGAUUAUGUGCGUGCUGGAAUUAUCUUGAUAGUGUAUUUUCAAAGUAAAAUCCACCUUGACUUUCCUUU